AGAGAGAGGGGAAACAGAAUUAUUAAUUUUAUUAAAAAAAAAAAAUUGAAUAUGAGACUAAGUCAAUCCUCAUUAUCCCUGCUGCUGCUGCUUCUUCUUCAUCCUCCUCCUCCUCCAAACCCUAAACGCAACGAGUUAUUGCAGAACUGGAGAGCUUUAAAUCUUCUAAUUAUCUUGUAGAUCUGUCUUUUUAUUACCCUUUGCUUUGAAACCAAUCACUGUACACACACUUCAUUUUGGCUUUUUAUGGCGGUGGGUUUUGACUUUUGAAGAGAGAGUUUUGUCACUCUAAGGAAACACCACUCCAUUUCUUCCGUAAAUUUAUAUAUCCUAUUUAACUAUUGUUGCAUACAUGGAGGGGAAUUCCGGUGGUGGAGGAGCUGGAGGAGCUGCUGUUGCUGCUGGCGGCGGUGCUGGUUCUGUUGGUGUUGGUGGUGCUGGAGGUGGAGGAGGGAAUGAUGUCGAGCUGAUGUGCAAGACGUUACAGGUGGAGCACAAGCUGUUCUAUUUCGAUCUGAAGGAGAACCCUCGUGGACGUUAUUUGAAGAUUUCUGAGAAGACUUCUGCCACCAGGUCUACCAUCAUCGUCCCUUCCUCUGGGAUUUCUUGGUUCUUGGAUCUCUUCAAUUACUAUGUCAAUUCUGAUGAUCAGGACCUCUUUAGCAAAGAAUUGCAGCUCGACACCAAGGCAUUUUCCAUUUUCAUUCUCUUCUCUAUUCUUUUCUUUUCAUUUCUUUCUUUUUAAUUGCCGCAUUAUGAAUGUCAAUUACAGGUGUUCUACUUUGAUAUUGGUGAAAACAGGAGAGGCCGCUUCUUGAAGGUAACCGGACCAAAGACCUUCUCUUUCAAUAUCUUAUACUUCUGCAUAAACACUUGCAAGCCUACUUCAUACUCUUUAACAUUUUACUUGCUAUAACUUUUAAGUCUAUUGCUUUUGAGUCAUGCUCAUAACCUGUCCAGCCCAAUUAUUAUUAUUAUUAUUACAAAAAAAAAAUGCACAUUGUAUUGCUUGCUCCAAUUUUAUAUGGUUUUUUAUCCCUAUUUACUAUUUAGGUAUGCAGUAAAUAUUGGGUGCUUAGUGAAUUAUCUAGUAAUAUGCAGGAUGUAACAUGUUGCAAAAUGAAUUUUUCUAAUGUGAAAUUCUAAUUUCGAAUAAUAAAUUGUGAUUCUUCUAAGGCUGCUGUUCUGUGCUUUAGUGUUAAUCAUUUAGUGGAUAUUUGGCAAAAUCAGGAAGCUUGGUGCCUUGUACUCCUGUCUAUACUUUUAUUCUCUUUCCUAAUUUUUUUUUCUUUUCCAUUUAAAAUAGCAAAAAGGAAAAAAAAAGGGUGAUGGUUAAUGCUAAUAUAUGCCUGUUAGGGGUUUGAAUUAUUAAAUGAAGUUGGUGAAUUGAUUAAUUUGCCCUAUCUAUUGAUUCAAAAUCUGUGAAGUCUAGCUACGUUGAUUUCAUUAUCUGCUCAAAUUAACAGAUGUAGUGAUGACCUCCAGAUGCUUACCCUUCAUCUGUCUGACUCUCUUCAUUGGGCAGCUACCAAUAAAUAAUUCAAAGGUCAUGAACUACCACAUCGUAGCAAAGGAAAAAAAAUCAUUAACAAAAUGACUAUAAUUAAGGUAAUGCUAGGAACAAACAGUUUGCCCUUUAUGCUGUUGGAGUUGCAUUAAGUCACUUAAGCUCCUGCAAGGCAGCAAUCGCUCUUUGGUGGUUUUUGGUUGUUUUUGUACUCAAUCAAAGGAUAUACCCCAAAGAUAAGAUUUUUUUAGUAUUUUCCAGAGAUGAGAAUUUUUAGUAGUUGAAAUCAUAUAGGUAAGAGGAUGAAAUUUAGGUAUAAUAUCUAAAUUCUGAUGUCUUAGGAGCUAGGUCUUAAAAUAUGUGUUUUAAAUCUAAAAUUUGCCCUUUUCUCAGUUAAGUAACUGAAAGUGUAUUUCUGAUCUACACUUUUAGAUCCUUGUUUUUUGAGAGAAACUUCAAUCUGCGGAACUUUGUUUAUCAAGUUGCUUGGUUUUAUGUUUCCUCAAUUACUUUUGUAAAUCAUUGGUUGGAGCUCGAUGGUGUAUCCCCUCAUCAACAGUAUUGUAUGCAAGAUGUAGUAAAAGUGGUUAGGUGAAAAAAAUUUAAAAGAAUUGGAAACAGAACUUGAAGAGAAAAUGUCUGUUUUCUAUAUCGCAUUAAUGUAAACACUUUAGAGUUUUUGUGAGGAACUGAACCAAAGAACCAGCCAAAGAUUAAGUUCUUCCCCCCUCCCUCUCUCCUCUCUUCUUAGGCAUUCGGCAUUGCUUGUAUCAUUUAGCAGUCUCAGGACAUUGAGAUUUCGUUAAUAUGUUGACAGCUGCAUAUUGGUAAAGAAUGGAGAACAAAUUUUUGGAGGGGAGCUAAACCACUAAACAACUAUCAUAUAAGAAAAAUUCUUAUAUUGUAUCUGAUUUUUUAGUUUCUUUCUAAAUAGAUUGCACCUCCUUAGUGCCCUGUAUUAAAUUACUAUGCCUAUCAGGAUUUGCCCAAUUGAUCUGUUUUGGUCCUAUAUUUUCCCUUUCCUUUGGCUGACAUAUUACUAGAAUGUUCUAUUGAGAUGCUAUAGUGUUCAUUGUACAUGAUCUAGUCAUUUUAGCUAAUUUCAUCUCCUAUGUCCUCUAAGCAUUUGAUUUUAGCUUCUUAGAAUAUAAAUUUAUUCAUUCAGUUCUUUUAACUCAUCUUGCCUUUGGCAGUUUGGCUCUAGAGUUAGGGACCACGUUACUAGAUUUGGUUAAGUUCAUAAUUAACAUUAUUGAGAGGUGGUAGAAAAUGUGGAUAUGGUCUGUGCUAUUAGUCAAGUUGAAGCAUUUGCAUUUGGCAUGCUUCAAUUUUUUUUGUACAGAACAUCUUUACACCCUCCUCCAGUUGAAGAAUUAAUUGGUAAAGUUAGAAAUGUCAGUAAAUCUGCUUUUUUCUAAAUCAUCCAUUUUGUUAAUCUCCUAAUGAAGUCCAUCACUCACCAUACUGCACUGUGCUGUGAAGCAACUGAUGAAUAAGUGGAACUUGAAUGAUGUUAUUUAAGAGCACCAGCUCCCUAGUUUCUAUGAAAAUUUGAGUAUGAGUAAACGAAUGGUGGACGUUGAUGGCUUGGAAUAUCCAAAAGUAACCAGGUUGUUUAUCAUGAUCUGAACAUCUAUGGGUUUGGGAAGUAAUUUUGAGGAUGCUGCCUAUGGAAGUAAAUGGAUAAAGCUCUAAAUUGUUUCCACAGAAGGGUUUUAAAUAUCGUUUAUUAUAUAUUGAAUCUGACAAUUGUUUUAAUAUUAUUAGGCUUUUCCUUUCUUUUAACUCUAGUGUCUAUUGUGCUUUCUUUUAUGCAAUUAUUUGUUUGAAUGCUAUCAGCCCAUUUAUGUUGCAUAUAUAAUUUAAUGUUUGUUUUUUAGUUGAUUUGAGCCAUUUUCGAAUUGUUUGAAAAAACUUACAGUAGGGGUGGCCAAUAUUGCUUACAAUAUUUCCAAUUCUGUGACUGUGAAAUCCUCAGUGCUACGAAAAAAACUAGUAUUCUUUUUGCUUUUGCUCCAAAAAAAGAAAAUAAUCUGCUGUCUAUCAGCCAAAAUAUGUAAAUAAGCAGACUUUAAGGUUUUGAUCAUGUAGUGUUGAGCAAAGGUGAUGUUUAAUUUUUCUGGAUUAUAUGCAAUCCUUUAAUUGCCUUUGCAGGAACCAGGCACCAUUUCUUUCAGAAAAGUAUAAUAUCUUGCCUAGUAAGGUCAGGGGCACUUGCAUAACGAGCGCUGACUUAGAUGCUUUGUCCUUGAGAACAGUUAAUAGAGUUAUGCAGAUCCAAUGGAAAUUAGUGUAACUGUCACUUGACUGGUGUGAGUUUUCAUCAUCAAUAAUCAAUCUAUGGGGCAUUAUUUUUGUCUUGCUAUUAAAUGGUCCCAAUCUUUAUGUGGGGUGGGAACGCGACUGAGCUUGGCAGGAUAGGAAUUAUCCUCUCCAAUCUUCUCAGAAUACUGGAUUUCAUAGAUUUUGAUUUAAUUAUUGGUAUGAUUUUGUCAUAAGUGCAUUGGGUUCUGUGAUGCAAUCUGAUCUCAUUAAUAAUUUCUAGCUAUAUGUAUGGUUAUUAUCAUACUUUAAAGUUUUGGAUAUUUAGAGGACUAGGGGUGACCUAUGUAUCUUCAAAGUCAAAUAUUGUUACAGAACAAAAUGGGAAAGAACUAUCUGGAUCCUUAUCACUCUCAAUGUCUUCUGAUACCUUCUUGGAAGAUCAAGCAGGUCUUUUAAUAUUUUAUCUUCAAUAGCUAUCUCCUUUGUGAUCACAUGAAUUUUCCAUUUCUGUGUAGUACAUGUGGAUAUUAAGCAUCCUGUUGCUUGGAGCACCAAUUCCUCCCUUCCUAAGGGUAGGCAGGGUGCAAAGUGAGUGAAAAGUGCAACAAUACUUGAAGCGCCUUUUUCAUCUCUUUUAUUUUCUCACUUUGGGCCUGUUAGAUUUGAUACAUCCUCUGCAUUAACUGCUCUAAUGAACAUAUACAUACAGGUAUCUGAAGCUUCUGUUAGUAGAAAUCGGAGUACCAUAAUUGUUCCUGCUGGAAGUGCCCGGAAUGAAGGUUGGGCAGCAUUCAGAAAUAUUUUAGCAGAGAUCAAUGAAGCUUCAAGGCUAUUUAUAAUGCCCAAUCAGCAAAAUUCUGAAUCUUCAGAGCGCCUUGUUGGCCUUUCGGAUGAUGUAGGGGCUGGCUUCAUAUCUGGCCACAAUAGCCAACCUGCUUCAGCAUCUGAAUUGAAUGUAGAUAGGUCAGUUGAACUAACAGCACAGGAAGAAAUUGGAAAUAUGGGGGUUUCAAAGGUGAUCAGAGCUGACCAGAAGAAAUUCUUCUUUGAUCUUGGUAGCAACAACAGAGGUCAUUUCUUGAGAAUUUCUGAGGUUGCUGGUUCUGACAGGUCCUCCAUAAUUCUCCCACUGUCUGGGCUGAAGCAGUUUCAUGAAAUAGUGGGGCAUUUUGUGGAGAUAACAAAAGAUAGAAUUGAAGGAAUGACAGGUGCAAAUGUUCGGACUGUGGAUCCCCCACAGAGAUGAAUGUGAAUAACUCCUGGAGGCUAAUGUAUGUUGAUGAAACGUGUUAUUCAUAUUUGGUAAAAGGGGUUGCUGUGGUGCUGCAAAUAUGUGUUUGAUUAGGGGUGGGGUGCAAUUGUGCGUAGCUUGUUUCUUGUUAAAUUCUUGCCUUGUCUGACUCUUAAGUCUAGAAAUAAUCCGAUUGAUCUGUUUGCUGAACAGAAAAGUUUCGGAGAUAGUAGCCAUGAGUAGCUUUGAAUAGGGAAUAACAGAAGAAACAAAUCAGAUAUUUGUAACUGUGAGUGUGGCACCCUUGUUAUUACAUUUCAAUAAUGCCGGUUCCAUAUGUUCUUGUAUUUCAGGUCUUCUAGCUGUAAUAAUUGCGAAAAUGGCCGUUUGCUUGCAAAUAAGCAAUUUAACCCGGUAAUGA
rnacentral:misc_RNA from 1 species